rnacentral:rRNA from 1 species
UACGUAGGGUGCGAGCGUUGUCCGGAAUUAUUGGGCGUAAAGAGCUUGUAGGCGGUUUGUCGCGUCUGCCGUGAAAAUUCGAGGCUCAACCUCGAACUUGCGGUGGGUACGGGCAGACUAGAGUGUGGUAGGGGAGACUGGAAUUCCUGGUGUAGCGGUGAAAUGCGCAGAUAUCAGGAGGAACACCGGUGGCGAAGGCGGGACUCUGGGCCGAUACUGACGCUGAGGAGCGAAAGCGUGGGGAGCAAACAGG